CUCUGCAAACCUCCACAAAUUCACAAAGAAAUGUCCAUAAAUACACGCAAAACCUCCACAAAUACACUCAAACCUCCACAAAUAAACAAAAAACGCACAAAUAGGCACAAAACCUGCACAAAGAGAUGUGAAACUACCACUGCUCUUCUUUCUCAUCUUGCAGGUGAUGGACGGUUGACAGGACGAAUCACCAAGACGAGCCAAACAAUGGAGAGGGGCCGCCACAGGAGCCUGAAGGGAAGGUAAUGAGAGCAGCCAGGAGCUGAAAGCGGGGGCAGAGGAACAGACUGCUGAGGACGAGUUGGACGACGGUUUCCUGAACUGAAUCCUGAUUUCCUGUAAUCGAGUUUUGUGGACUGACAGUUUGCAUGGUUGGUGCUCGGCCCAGGACAGGAGAGACACCUGGUCCAACAAGGUGAUGGACGGUUGUAAGGAGGAAUCACCAAGAAAAACAAGACAAGCCAAACAAUGGAGAUGAGCUGCCACAGGAGCCUGAAGGGAAAGUAACGAGAGCAGCCAGGAGCUGAAAGUGUGGGCAGAGGAACGGGCUGCUGAAGACAAGUUGGACCACAGUUUCCUGAACUGAAUCCUAAUUUCCUGUAAUCAAGUUUUGUGGAUUGACAUGUUGUCUGGUUGGUGCUCGGCCCAGGACAGUAAAGCUCUGCGGCAGGUGAUCCAUCCAUUCACAGAGCAUCACUGACAAUGGAGAGGUGAGGUGUCUGCUCAGAGCUCAAAGAAUACUGAAAAAGACUAAAAUAACCAGAAGUAAAUGCUGAAUGCUGAUGCUUUUGUCCUCAGACUGAGACUCCUGAGCAUUCUCAACAAUAUAGACUGCUUUGGUUUCUGUCCUUCUGUGAUGAAGCAUUAAAUGAGUCAAACUGA